UACGUAGGGGGGCAAGCGUUGUCCGGAAUUACUGGGCGUAAAGCGUGCGCAGGCGGUCUGUUAAGACCGAUGUGAAAUCCCCGGGCUUAACCUGGGAACUGCAUUGGUGACUGGCAGGCUUUGAGUGUGGCAGAGGGAGGUAGAAUUCCACGUGUAGCAGUGAAAUGCGUAGAGAUGUGGAGGAAUACCGAUGGCGAAGGCCAGCCUCCUGGGCCAACACUGACGCUCAUGCACAAAGCGUGGGGAGCAAAC
rnacentral:rRNA from 1 species